rnacentral:tRNA from 1 species
AUCUAAAUAGUUUAUAAAAAUAUAAGUUUGUGGGACUUAAGAUGUAAUUUUUACUUUGGAUA